rnacentral:lncRNA from 1 species
AGAAGCCGCUAUCCGAGGUGAGGUGCUUCUGCUGUCAUACGAAAAGGCAUAUUAAGCGCAACUGUCGGAAACUUCAGAAUGAUUUAAAGGAGACGAAGUGACAAAAGGAGAAAACUGUCAUGAAUCAGGACGAGGCAAUAACAGCGACGGCGCAAGCGGCAGAGUCGGGGAUGAUCGAUUCUGAUGUGCUGUAUGCGGUGUCCGGAGGUGCAAAAAUUUUGAAUGACGCGUGGGUACUCAAUUCGUCGUGUU